rnacentral:rRNA from 1 species
GUGCCAGCAGCCGCGGUAAUACGGGGGGGGCAAGCGUUGUUCGGAAUUACUGGGCGUAAAGGGCUCGUAGGCUGCCAACUAAGUCAGACGUGAAAUCCCUCGGCUUAACCGGGGAACUGCGUCUGAUACUGGAUGGCUUGAGAUCGGGAGAGGGAUGCGGAAUUCCAGGUGUAGCGGUGAAAUGCGUAGAUAUCUGGAGGAACACCGGUGGCGAAGGCGGCAUCCUGGACCGACACUGACGCUGAGGAGCGAAAGCCAGGGGAGCAAACGGGAUUAGAAACCCCGGUAGUCC